UAAUUUGAAUUUUCUGAGCUAAUUAUUUGCAUUAUUAUUUUCAGGGAAAAUUUUGGAAACACAAUUUGGGACAUUUGGAGGAGACAAAAUAAAUUGAAGACUCUCAAAUUAGACAUUUUAAAUUUCAUUGUAUUGUAAUUUUUAUUGCUUAAACUUUUUGGACAAACCUUUGCACAUUGGGCCAUUGUUAAAAUUUAUGAGGGGCCCAAAAUUGUAGGACACUUGUCACCCUAGGGUUUUAUUUUUUUUAGGGUGUACCCCACCCCAAUUUUAGGACACAUGAUCCUAGGAAC
rnacentral:lncRNA from 1 species